AUGGUUAAGACCUUUAGGUUUGGAAGUUAUAAGGAAAGGGUUUGGAUCGAUAAACGGGGAGGAGAUAGCACGCUUUCAUCCUCACUGACCACCAUUAACAAUACUCACUUCAAUCUUCUUCAUAUCUCACCAUCAAUCCACCUUCUGAAGCAACUCAGUCCAUCUCCUUCACCGAAUUCCACUGCUACCCAACCUCCAUUUCCAUCCGCUCUCUACCGCGAGAUAUCUGCCUGUCAUCUCCAAUAUUCAACUUCCGAACGUUCCAAACCGUCGGAUCUCCAACUUCAGACGCGCAUCAAACUGCCAACUUUACCGUUUUGA